AACGCACCUUGCGCUCCUUGGUAUUCCGAGGAGCAUGCCUGUUUGAGUGUCAUGAAAUUCUCAACCUCUCUAGCUUUAUCUAGCUGGUUAGGCUUGGAUUGUGGAAGUUGCUGGUUUUAUCAGAAAUCAGCUCUUCUUAAAUGCAUUAGCAAAACCUUUGCUGACUAUCUUUAGUAUGAUAAUUAUCUAUACUAUUGAAAAGUAGCUCCUAUGGGGAUGGUUUUGCUUCUAACAGUCCAUCUGGACAACCUUGACAAUUUGACCUCAAAUCAGGUAGGACUACCCGCUGAACUUAA
rnacentral:misc_RNA from 1 species